AUACUUACCUGAGGAAGAGAUGAUCCAUGAAGGUGGUUCACACAGGCGAGGCUCAGCCAUUGCACUUCGGUUGUGUGCGACCCGUGCGAAUUCCCCAAAUGUGAGAUCUCGAGCUGCAUAAUUUGUGGUAGUGGGGGACUGCGUCCGCUCUCCUGAU